rnacentral:rRNA from 1 species
AUUGAACGCUGGCGGCAUGCUUUACACAUGCAAGUCGAACGGUAACAGGUUAAGCUGACGAGUGGCGAACGGGUGAGUAAUGCAUCGGAACGUGCCCGAUCGUGGGGGAUAACGCAGCGAAAGCUGCGCUAAUACCGCAUACGAUCUGAGGAUGAAAGCGGGGGACCGUAAGGCCUCGCGCGAUCGGAGCGGCCGAUGUCAGAUUAGGUAGUUGGUGGGGUAAAGGCCCACCAAGCCGACGAUCUGUAGCUGGUCUGAGAGGACGACCAGCCACACUGGGACGGAGACACGGCCCAGACUCCUACGGGAGGCAGAAGUGGGGAAUUUUGGACAAUGGGCGAAAGCCUGAGCCAGCAAUGCCGCGUGCAGGAAGAAGGCCUUCGGGUUGUAAACUGCUUUUGUACGGAGCGAAAAGGUCCUUUCUAAUACAAGGGGCUCAUGACGGUACCGUAAGAAUAAGCACCGGCUAACUACGUGCCAGCAGCCGCCGUAA